rnacentral:rRNA from 1 species
AACGAACGCUGGCGGCAUGCCUAACACAUGCAAGUCGAACGAGACCUUCGGGACAAGUGGCUCUUGGGUGUGUAACGCGUGGGAACCUGCCCUUAGGUUCGGAAUUAUACUUCGAAAGGGGUGCUAAUACCGGAUAAUGUCCUCGAAUCACACAUUUAUCGUCUUUGUAUGGGCCCGCGUUGGACUAGCCUGUUGCUAGUGUAAAAGCCUAUCAAGGCGUGGAUCGAUAGCUGGUCUGAGAGAAUGAGCCGCCACACUGAGUCUGAGACGCGGCCCAGACUCCUGGAGGAGGGGGGAGUGGGGAAUAUUGGACAAUGGGCGAGGGGCUGAUGCAGCAAUGCCGCGAGAGUGAUUAAGGCCUUAGAGUUGUGAAGCUCUUUUACCCGGGAUGAUAAUGACGGUACCGGGAGAAUAAGCACCGGCUAACUCCGUG